CUUUCUUCGUCGAAUCGCAGACCAGUGUGGACGAUGUAAUAGAAGAGGAAUAUCGGAUCGAUAUCGAGGCUGUUUCGGGGGGAGGAGGAAAAAAUGAAACGAGUUGAACUUGCCCUCCCUCCCCUCCCCCAGAUAUUUCUAACAGUCGGUGUAGUGUAAUAAAGUAUUCUCAUACAGUAUUCAUCGGUGGCCAUGUCGCGGCAAGGUUGGGCCUUGGCAUAGUGACAUAAUUCCCCGCACGGUUUGUAUCGCCGCUACUACUAGCUAGUAACACGCUAGCCCACCGACCGACCGACCAAUCGGCGGUGACCGUGAGCCUCUCGUGGAAUAAUCGGUUGUUCCGUUCGGCCGCUACUCGCUGGUCGUCGCUGCGAUAGCGAGCGAGCGGCUAGCGUGUUCUCCCUCUUCGGUUCAUCGCUUGAUCGAUGACGUAAGGUCGUUCGCUUUCACCUAGCGAGUGCCUCAAACUGCUCCGGGACACGAAGAAACAUUGAAAGCCGGGUGCAAGUUUCGGCUCGCGUGCAUUCCGCCUCGAAAACGCAGCCGCCUCACCUUCAACGUCUUGGAAGCGUGCAAUCUCGCUUCCAUCUGGGCUCAUGCUAAUGAGAUACGUAUAUAUAUAUAUAUAUACAUAUAUAUACAUGUAUACAUAUAUAUGUGUAUAUAAUUUACUUGGACAGUUAACAUUGACCGGAUAAGGUGGAAUGACUUCAUUUAGUUCGUUUUAAUGUUCGCGUUCUGAGUGUAUCGUUUAAGUUAUAAUACAUAUAAAUCGCAAAAGACGAUUUCAAAUGAUCUUUACACAUCCAUCCAUAAAAAGACUAUUAUAUAUAUAUAUAUGUAUCGCGUAACGUGUCUCCUAGAAAAUUUCAUUUUCGUAAGAUCGUAUUUCUUUCUCGUAAGUUCAAUUCUUUGCGAGACGUUCCAUUGUUCCCUUAAAUAUACGUCAUACGACCCUACAUAAGAGAUUAAAAAUGUACGGAUUCAAAAUACUUAAAUCAACGUAAUCGGAUUAAUACGUGCAAUUAACAACGUUAUUAAUACAAAUCCCUCUUUUCGUAACUAGCCACGUGCAAAUAACGUGCAAGUCUUUUCGAACGAAGCAAUAUGUAUGCCGGCCAAUCUUUGCUAAUCUCUUAGAUGUUGACGCACGCCUGGUCGUAUCGGUUCGGUUGAUCGACAUUAUGGACGAGUCGUGAGAAACUGGAUCAGCUUGCUCUCGGGAGUUAGGGCGUUCUACUUUUCGAGUGCGGUGCAACGAUGAUGCAAGAAACGGGAGAAGAGUGGGGGAAGAGAUGGAGGAGGAGGAGAGGGAGCUGUAGUUGUUCUCCGUUAAAAAUGCGACCACUACUCCUCUCGGUCGCAUUGUCUCCACACGAGGGGGAAGCUGAAUUGUGAUAUUCAAGCGAAACAUCGAAAACGUUUAAGCGUUUACCGUUAACACGACUCAAUCUUGUUGAAAACAGGUUUUCACGAAAAGUUUCUGCUUCCAUCCCCGGCCAGCUUAAUUAGCACGCUUUAUAACCAAGUCGGCAGGAAUCAGAUUAGUUACGUUACGGUUCACACGGCACGUAUUCCCAUUAUUGGUCGAAUCCAAUAGGUGUACGAAAUGAAAAGAAGCACGCAGGAAAUGGAACGAGAUUGGAAAGAACGACGACUCGAAUAUGAUGAACAUAAACACGGAGGUAUAAUUCCAGAAUUUGCUUCGCCACUUUAACUUUUACGAGGACGAGAGAUGUCUAUUAUCAAUUAAAAUUAUUCCAAGUAAGAAUAAAAGAAAAAAAAGAAUCUUUUUAAUAAUAAAGGAAUCCUCGAAGCAUAAUAUUUUAUUUCACUUGACAAUCGCUGCUUUGAAAGUAUUAUAACAAACCUUUUGAUAUCCUAUGUAGUGUUAACCCGAAAAGAGAGUAAGGAUGAGAAUCUGAACGAGGGAAAUCUGUUCUCUUUAUAUUAUAGAAAGAUUAUAGAAAGUUGUUUGAACUUUUAAAACUUUUUCAUGUAAUUCCCGAUUUGAUUCGACGAUUGAUAAAGAGUUUCGUUCUCGUAUUAUCGAAAGAGUGAUAAAAAAAAAAAUUUGUACCAAAAAUUUAACCUGUGGAUGAUGUGAAAAUUUUACUCCUAGAUGAAUCUCUGUGGAGGAGAUUACGUUGAGCAGGAAGUCUAAUCCCUUCACCGUGUCGUUCAAUUUGUCAGUGCUCGGCAACGAUACUCGUGCAUUCGUCGGAAGAUGGCUAGACAAAACUGUCACUCUAUUUCCAUCCUUCUUGCCAUCACACGCGUUCUUACUAUUAAUAAAUUAAACGCAAUGACAAAGAUCGAUGAUGGCCAUAUAUAGAGACAGAGUGGAAUAAAAUAAUUUCACGAUAUUGUUCCUCUAAUCAAAAAAAUUGUUAUAAAUAAAUAGCCAAUUCUUUCGAUUGGCAGGUUACAUCAAAA